rnacentral:rRNA from 1 species
AACGAACGCUGGCGGCAGGCUUAACACAUGCAAGUCGAGCGCCCCGCAAGGGGAGCGGCAGACGGGUGAGUAACACGUGGGAAUCUACCCAUCCCUGCGGAACAACUCCGGGAAGCUGGAGCUAAUACCGCAUACGCCCUACGGGGGAAAGAUUUAUCGGGGAUGGAUGAGCCCGCGUUGGAUUAGCUAGUUGGUGGGGUAAAGGCCUACCAAGGCGACGAUCCAUAGCUGGUCUGAGAGGAUGAUCAGCCACAUUGGGACUGAGACACGGCCCAAAGUCCUACGGAAGGCAGCAGUGGGGAAUAUUGGACAAUGGGCGCAAGCCUGAUCCAGCCAUGCCGCGUGAAUGAUGAAGGCCUUAGGGUUGUAAAGUUCUUUCACCGAUGAAGAUAAUGACGGUAGUCGGAGAAGAAGCCCCGGCUAACUUCGUGCCAGCCGCCGCCGUAAAAC